AGAAUGCGGUUCCAGCUCCAAACACUCAUGACUGCUGGGAUCCCAUAACAAGCUGUGGAGGAUGCCCAGAGGCUAGGGGUCUAAUUUCUCCUGAGGGAGUCCUGGAAGGCUUCGUGGAGGAGGGGACACAGUGUGCUGCCUCCGGGAGGGGUGCGCAGCAGCUUGCCAGGAGAAGAACUUGCAGACAGAAGGAGGGAGGGAGCUGACGUCAGCCCAGGGUCGGGAGAAUGCGAGGUGUUUAUGAGAAUUGGUGGGAAAUUCAGUGUGGCAGAGAAAUGGGGUCUCCCUAUGUUGCCUAGGCUAGUCUCAAACUGCUGGCCUCCAACGAUCCUCCUGCCUUGGCCUCCAAAGUACUGGGAUUACAGGUGUGCACUACUGUACCCGGCCCACUGCUGUUUUUUGGAAAGUGAAGAUGGACUGUCUUGUUACAUUUUUUUACUGCCUGCAAGGCCAGCCCUAGCCAGUCAUACCCACAACGUAGCAGACAGCCUGCAAGACUCCAAGGUACCGGAUCCACCUGUGUCCCCAUGUGAAGUGAGAGGCCACAGGAACCCCGCUUCUCUUGUCUGGUACUCUCCACGACUCGGAAAACUUGGCCUUGACUGUUGGAACCCAGGAUCAACAUCCGAGCCUAAAGCAAGCAUGUAGAAGGACAUGAGAAGGCCAUCUUCUUGGGACGUAGGGAUGAUGAGAUUGCUCAGUGGGGGUGGUCCAGCUGGUGCUAGAGAAAGUGGCCAUGGUAUUGGUGUCCAAGGAGCAUGACCAGACCGCAGGACUGCAGAGGACCACUUGGGUCCUGAGGGAGGGGACCUGUUGCUCUGGCCCUCCCCAGUGCUGUUUACUUCCUUGUUUCUUCCCAUCCCUGUGUUUUUCCCAUAGGCCCCUCCCUGGGACUGAAGUUUCUAGACAGAGUGAUUGCGAGUCCUUGUUUGCCCAGGACAGCUCUGGUUUAUGCCUGGUGUCCUGGCAUAAUCAUUAACAGCUCCCUCUUUCACUCUAAAAAAUGUCCUGGCUUGGACUUUAAAUUACAUAGUCACUCUAUGACACAGUCGCCCUGUGUCUUGGAUGCUUCUCUUCUAGGAAGAGCCUCUGCCCUAAAGGAGGCUCUAACAGUGGAGGAGAGAGACGCCAAUCAGAUCGUUACCAAGCAAACAGGGGAGUAAACGGUUGAGCUUUGUAACUGGGAGGCCUUUGAGGAGGCACCUAAUCCAGAUCCGGGGUCUUAAGAGGGCUUCCUAGAGGGGGUGAUUCGGCUGCCAACUGGAAAUAAGAGGGAUUAGGCUGGACGUGGUGGCUCAAGCCUGUAAUCCCAGCACUUUGGGAGGCCGAGG